rnacentral:rRNA from 1 species
GAUGAACGCUGGCGGCGUGCUUAACACAUGCAAGUCGAACGAGAAAUGUAGACGGAAACCUUCGGGCGGAAGCCUUCAUUUCGAGUGGCGGACGGGUGAGUAACGCGUGGGUAACCUGCCUCAUACAGGGGGAUAACAGUUGGAAACGACUGUUAAUACCGCAUAAGACCACAGCAUCGCAUGAUGCGGGGGUAAAAACUCCGGUGGUAUGAGAUGGACCCGCGUUCGAUUAGCCAGUUGGCGGGGUAACGGCCCACCAAAGCGACGAUCGAUAGCCGAUCUGAGAGGAUGACCGGGCACAUUGGGACUGAGACACGGCCCCAACUCCUACGGGAGGCAGCAGUGGGGAAUAUUUCACAAUGGGGGAAACCCUGAUGCAGCGACGCCGCGUGAGUGAAGAAGUACUUCGGUAUGUAAAGCUCUAUCAGCAGGGAAGAAAAUGACGGUACCUGAGUAAGAAGCCCCGGCUAACUACGUG